UACGUAGGGGGCGAGCGUUGUCCGGAUUUACUGGGCGUAAAGAGCGCGCAGGCGGUCGUUCAAGUCGAGUGUGAAAGCCCCCGGCUCAACUGGGGGGGGUCAUUCGAUACUGAUCGACUGGAAGGCAGGAGAGGGAAGCGGAAUUCCCGGUGUAGUGGUGAAAUGCGUAGAUAUCGGGAGGAACACCAGUGGCGAAGGCGGCUUCCUGGCCUGUUCUUGACGCUGAGGCGCGAAAGCUAGGGGAGCAAACGGG
rnacentral:rRNA from 1 species